rnacentral:rRNA from 1 species
AGGAUGAACGCUAGCGGCAGGCCUAAUACAUGCAAGUCGAGGGGUAUAAGGUGCUUGCACCUUAGAGACCGGCGCACGGGUGCGUAACGCGUAUGCAACCUACCUUAAUCAGGGGGAUAGCCCGGAGAAAUCCGGAUUAACACCGCAUAAUAUGUAGAAGUGGCAUCACUUUAACAUCAAAUAUUAAUAGGAUUAAGAUGGGCAUGCGUGACAUUA